AGCAGGGAGGUUUGUGCUGCGCCGCGUGGUUCAGAGACCCCCAACGCGGUUCUCCUCCGCUCCGUGCAGCACUGCCCAGCUUUUGGCCAGGCUGGCAGCGCGUCCGUGCCAGCCUUUGCCUCCCUUCUCCCCUUCGCGGGACAGUGUUAUGCAAACCAGUCAUUUGUUCCUCUUAUUAUUUAAAGCUUUUCUAUGCUGUUGACCUCCUGCCCCUUCCUCCUGCAAAUCAUUUGCUUUUCCAGAUGCUUCAGUAUUAACUUGUACAAUUUUAUUUCUUCUUUUUUUUUUUUUUUUUUUGCUCCUUAUCUCGCCUCAAGAAGGAGAGGGAUUACCUCAUUCCCACUGCCUCAGAAAUAAAUCCUCAUUAUGGAUUUGUACCUGGGGAGGAAGAAACUGAUUUCCACUCCCAGCCAGUUCUGAACAGAUAUUUGAAGGUGGAUCUCCAGACACUGCACGUGUCCCCGGGGCUGAUCGUUAAAGGUGAACAUUGCCCACUACUGAACCAGGGUGAGGGAACUGGAGCUAUGGGAAGACCUGAGAAGAGCAUUCCCCGUUCAGUGUCUUCACUCCUCGACUCCGUCCACGCCACGCGUGUCUGGGGCACGCAGCUGAUGCAGGGCUCAGCCAUCCUUUGCCGGUGUUCGCUCUGAGAAAGCCCAGGACCCUCGUCAGUGCACUCGAGCUAUUUCUAUCUCAUCGCUGGCAGGCAGAUGAAGGCAGUCUUUGCUCAGACUUAAUUUCCAGCGCAGCACGUAUGGUCUAUGGAGAUGCAUCUGCAGGAAAGAAGCAGCCCAGACAUCAGCUGCACUUCAGCCCUGAUCCACAGCCUCCGGUCCAUGCAGCAAUCCCAGGGAACAUGCCCACAACAACUGGAGUUUGCAAGAUUGUUGUUACUGGCCCUGGUCCUGCCUCCCUGCUUAGCAGUUCCCGCACGCCUCCCCCAGAUCCAAGCAGAGGUAGGUUUCUGUCUGCUUGCUUUGAAUAACUUUUAACUUGUCUGAGUCUUUGCAUCUGUAUUGCCUCCCUCACUCUUUCCAGUAAUUACAUACAAGGCCAUGGAAAGAGAUCAAAUUCUGCCGUCUCCUUUGAAUCCUGGAAACUGCCUCUUAUGGUACCCUUGAGUCUCUUUAAAGGAAACAAAUUAAAAUGCUGCAGCCCAGAUGAUUGCAGGUAAAGCCGUACCCUGGAGGACCUUGCAUUUUCCAGAUAGCCCUCUAUAUGGCUAGUGAAACAUUUCAAGGAGAUUGAUUUCAUAUCGGGUCUGGGGAAAUUCCGCAGCUCCAGAGAUAAUCUAUCACCGCUUGCCCAGAAAGGAGUGAUAAAUUCUUUGUCUUCUUCUCAAGCAUCCAUCGUGACUGCAGGAGGAACAGCAGUGCAAACUGUUUUCCUUGCACGUGAAAAAAAGCUAGACUUAGGUCAAAGGGAGCCGCUUUCAGACUCUCCUUCCCCUCCUGUCAUGAUUCAUUUGAGUCAGGCCGCUCCCCCAGCAGCUCUUUCCCAUUGUGCGCUUACAGCUGCGAUGUUUGGCAGAAAUUAUUGCCUGCUUUCUUUUCAGCCUUUGCUUUAGAUUCGUUAUUAUGAUGGGUUGUUAAUUCUCUGGAAUAGCA